UACGGAGGUGCAAGCGUUAUCCGGAUUCACUGGGUUUAAAGGGUGCGUAGGCGGACAGGUAAGUCAGUGGUGAAAUCUCUGGGCUUAACCCAGAAACUGCCGUUGAUACUAUUUGUCUUGAAUAUCCUGGAGGUAGGCGGAAUAUGUCAUGUAGCGGUGAAAUGCUUAGAUAUGACAUAGAACACCGAUAGCGAAGGCAGCUUACUACAGGAUGAUUGACGCUGAGGCACGAAAGCGUGGGGAGCAAACAGG
rnacentral:rRNA from 1 species